AUAUUACAGACCCAGUUUCAUUUACUGUAAGUGCACAGGCUCAAAAAUACUCGUCUUUCCCGCAGAAGAGGCGAGCUGCUGCCACGCUGCCUGGCCCCUCCGGUGCCACCGCGGGAGAUACGGAACCAGGGGCAGAAACCCCACAGUGCCCGUGCCGGGGCUGCCGGCACCGACUCACCCGCUGCACCUCCGGAUCCCCCCCGGCAUCCCUGCCGCGCUCCUUGGAAAGCCUCCCAGGUGCCUUCUGUUCCAGCAGCCACCUGCAGAGGGAAAGGAUCUUCGUUAGCCUGGGUGUCUGCCUUCCCCCCCUGCUCGUGAGCACUGCUUUUGCCUUCAUCAAGCGGAUUUCAGCUGGGUGGAAAUGAAAGCUGCCCCAGCCGGCUUGCCCUUUGGCUGCGGGAUGCGGCGCGCAGGGCGGCGGUGCUGCAGCGGGGAUGGGUGACAAGGGCUGGAGCUCUCAGCUUCUCCUCGCAGUCAAAACCUGCCCAAUUUCUGCCCAAACAGCGUUGAUGCUUAAAUAUCAAGGAGAGGCACCGAGCCCCAUGAGGAAAUAAGGGGGAUGCAGAGCAGAGCUGAGCCUUGGCAUCCUCCCGAGUGCUCCGGCAGCGCUCCGGAGCCAGCGGAGAAGCCCCCGCUCACGGCACCUGGGCACCAGUGUCCCUGGGGGGUAAUUUCGGUGCAGUGCCCACCCCGUGCCCGGCCCCGCACAGAUCUCUCGCACCUUUCCGAAGCUCCCGCACCGCGUCCUGCUGGGCUCCCUCGCUGCAGCUCCUGGCCGCGGAUGGGUCUGGGAGCGUGCGGGGUUUAUAGGGAGGAGAGGGACGGGGAGGCUUUCCCACGGCCCCUGGUCAUCGCCCCGGCAGCCAGCUACACCCAUUGGGAAACGCUGGGGCUUUUUCUCAUCAGAAAGGGCCUUUGCUAUGGAAAAUGCAGGCUGGGACUGCCCUUCUGGGACCGAAAGGCAGAAAUGGGGAUGGGAAUAGGGUGAACGCCUUCUGGUUUUCAAAUCUAGUGGGAAAGCUCCCACGCGGGGUGAAGGCAGAGGCCACGCGGGGCUCGGAUAAGCCCUGGGAAAGGUCUCGUUUCCGAGGGUUUGCAGCAAAACCCCUGGGUGGAAGCAGGGCGAGCAAACGGCAGGGCCAGAGGAGAGUCCCCAGGGCAGCAGUGCUGGCGGCCCCGCAGUGAGGCUCCCGCUCGCAGGCAGCUCCCAGCAGGGGCGGGAGGAGCAGCCCCGCGCUCGCUGCGGUUUGGCUGAUCUGACUGCUCUUGGCGAUGCCGUUCCCUCUCUUCCUCUCCUGCCUUAUUUAACUACUAAGCCGGAUUUGCUGCCAUUCAAAACAAGACCUAUUAAAUGUCAGGCGCGGAGGGGAGUAAAAGUUGCUGACAUCAGGCUUUGUGGGGAUAAAUGAAGUUCUUUAGAAAGCAAGAGAAGGGAAAAGAAAGAAAGAAAGAAAAAAAAACCAAAAACACAUCCCAAACACGUGCUACCUCCAGCACGGCGCGGGAGCCAUGGGGCAGGGAAACCCAGCACAGCCACGGGCACGUGGUGGCUGCAGCACAGCUCCGCUGCCCUCGUGCACCCCGCUCCCGGGGGCUUCUCCCCAAAAGCGGGCCGCCCCUAGCUGCCGUUACGUGUCCCCCACGUGCCUGCCCCAUUUCUUGCCGCCGAUGCCUGUUUUGCAUAAUUUGGGCACGGCGAGGGGUACGGGUCUUAUUUGUUUCAAGAAAAUAAACCGACCCGAAAAUGCCUUACCGGCAUGUUUUUACUCUCUGAUUCAGAGCGAGUCCAGGAAUUAGUCACGCGGUGGCGGAGGGGUUGCAGAGCAGGGGCUGUCUGAAUCAGCGAACCCCAGCCCUGCUCAGAGCCACCCUGCUUCCAAACCGGGGGCUGGCCUGAGCGGAGCUGCAGCCGAGAUGCUCCCGGCCUCGGUGGCGAUGUGCGGAGAACAGGGUUGAUUGGGUAGGGCUUGAUGUUUUUGGCCACGCUUGCGUUUGCUCUCAGAUAUCAGCCCAAGGAGCCGCUCUUGCUGCGGGGGGGGGUUGGUUUUCGCCAGCUGUGAGGGGCUGUGGGAACGUGCACUUGCUGCCCAAGCGGCUCCGUGCUCAGCGCCCGCUGCAUCACAGAGAGAGGGAGGAAAGGGAGAGGGAGCGGAACCAGAUCCCUCCCUCCUAAUGGUUUCAAGAUGCGGCCGGGGGAGCCUUGCGCUGGAAGCGCCGUGCCGUUUCGUGGCCAGCUUGGCUGCAGCUCAAGGGAUGGAGAGCCCCAAAGUGAACCCGGGACCUGCUGAGGCAGGAGGCAUCCGAGCACGGUGCCUUCUGCCCCCACUGCCCUGCUCGUGCCGUGCUCUGCAACACCCGGACCUCGCCCCGAGAAGCAGGGCUGGGAUGUCAGCGCAGCCAGCAGGUGGGAAGCGUCCGACCUGGGGGCAGAAGGCACCCUGCGAGCAUUGCUCCUGCAUCCUGCAUUCCAGCCCAGGUGGGGCAGAGCCUCCCCCCCCCCCACCUGCCUCCCUCCACAUCAUAAUUUUGGGCCAUUUUGACUUUGGGUCAUCACAAAAAGGUGAAAUUUCAGUUUUAGGGGUGAAAUGGCAACGCUGACAGGCCCGGGGAGCAGGAGGGGGUGGCACGUGUGGAUGCAUCGCAGGCUGGAGAACGCUCGUCCUGCUCUCCUGCCUCCUUCCCCCUAAAUAUUGCAACAAAACCAGAAAAAGUCCUUGUUGUCAUCAUCAGCUCUGUGGAAAAAGAUGUUUUUUGGCAGAGCUUCAACAGCCAUUAGUCAGAAACCCCCAAGCCCCUCCAGCGUGCAGGCGCAUGCUUCGCGGUGAGCUUUCUGAAAAGACCAUUUGCUGCAAAAAUUAGGCAGUUGGUUUUUUUUUUUGGUAAAUAUUUUUUUUUUUUUUUUGUCGCUGUCAAAAAUCCAAUUUUCCUUCCAAAGAGAAAAGAAAAGGCAAAAAAGAACCUGGUGGAAAGUUUGCAGCCGGGGAGCGCUGGCGGCGUGCCCCGGGUGCAGCGGGAGGUGGGAGAACGCCCUGCUGUGUGCAGGCUCGGCAGAAGAAAAAAAAAAAAAAAUAAAAACAAAACCCAGGGAAGAAGAUCUGGGGAAGAAAACAAACAAAGAAAAAGUAAAGCUGGUGGGUGUUUCUGGCAGCAGGGACCCCCCAGCCCCGUUUCCCUGGCAGCCCCUGCUGGGUGGAAGGGCUGCAGGAGCAUCCCAGCAAGUGGCAUCGCCACCUUGGGUCGGGGUUUUUGGCACCGCUGGGGUGUUUGUCUGUCCGAGUAGAGACUGCAGCACCAAGUGGAUCAACCCCUCCUUGUUCAGAAACCUGCAGCCGGACAGGAUCCCGUGGGAUGGACAACAUGCUGGUGAGAGUCUUGUGUCCAAACCCCUUCCCAGCCCUCUGAAGCCUGGGUCCGGUGAGCGCCCGCCCAGCAUGCCAGCACCUGCCUUCCCGCGGAGCGAAAAACAAGUCGCUAAGUCACAGCAAAACCAUGAAAGAAAAACCACAGAGACCUAAAGCACCUCUGAGUCACUCCCCCGGCCCGCUGCACCGUGACAUUCCUCCAAAACUCGCCGCCACCUGCGGACGGUCCCUGACUGCUGAGCGGUGCCUGGAGCUCUGGCAUGGCACGGGAUGGCACGGGAUGGCACGGGAUGGCACGGGACAGCACGGCACAGCACAACGUGCCCCGGCCAGCCCCACUGCAGGAGUGUGCGUGCAGGAUUUAACAGCUGGAGGGAGCACGAGUGGGGCUGAUGCUGGCUACGUGGCCGCACCCCCAGCACCUUGCCAUGCCGCGCUGCGCGUGUGCCGGUUCAGACGGCGAUAUUCGCGCUCUCCCUCCUGUUUUAGCACCUUCCAGGCUGCCCAAAGCCCGUGCCUGGGUGUGCAGGGCUGGGGACGGCCGCUGCCACCUCGCAGAGGUGAGAGCAGAGUGCAGGGAGGCAGGGGGGCUGCUCCCAUGGGCUGAGCACGGCCAAAACCGGCCCCAAGCUGGUGCCCUGCAGAGCCCAAACCUUUCCCUCACCUCUUUCCCGUAAAAUCACCUGUAUACGUAUUUUUUUUUUUAAUUGUAAAAAAUGCUCGUCUGAAACUUGAAUGGAGAUUAAACAUUCACAGAAAGUGCUAUCA